AGUGAACGCUGGCGGUAGGCCUAACACAUGCAAGUCGAACGGCAGCACAGUAAGAGCUUGCUCUUACGGGUGGCGAGUGGCGGACGGGUGAGGAAUACAUCGGAAUCUACUUUUUCGUGGGGGAUAACGUAGGGAAACUUACGCUAAUACCGCAUACGACCUACGGGUGAAAGCAGGGGAUCUUCGGACCUUGCGCGAUUGAAUGAGCCGAUGUCGGAUUAGCUAGUUGGCGGGGUAAAGGCCCACCAAGGCGACGAUCCGUAGCUGGUCUGAGAGGAUGAUCAGCCACACUGGAACUGAGACACGGUCCAGACUCCUACGGGAGGCAGCAGUGGGGAAUAUUGGACAAUGGGCGCAAGCCUGAUCCAGCCAUACCGCGUGGGUGAAGAAGGCCUUCGGGUUGUAAAGCCCUUUUGUUGGGGAAGAAAAGCAGCAGGUGAAUACCCCGCUGUUCUGACGGUACCCAAAGAAUAAGCACCGGCUAACUUCGUG
rnacentral:rRNA from 1 species